rnacentral:rRNA from 1 species
UACGUAGGGUGCGAGCGUUAAUCGGAAUUACUGGGCGUAAAGCGUGCGCAGGCGGUGAUGCAAGACAGAUGUGAAAUCCCCGGGCUUAACCUGGGAACUGCAUUUGUGACUGCAUCGCUGGAGUGCGGCAGAGGGGGAUGGAAUUCCGCGUGUAGCAGUGAAAUGCGUAGAUAUGCGGAGGAACACCGAUGGCGAAGGCAAUCCCCUGGGCCUGCACUGACGCUCAUGCACGAAAGCGUGGGGAGCAAACAGG